CUCACUUCUGUGCAGGUACCUCCAAGACACCAGGAGCAACUCCACAGCCCCCCCUCAUCGCUGUCUCCCUGGUUCUGCCUGGAAUAUUUAUGGUGAGCGGCCAGCUAUCUUGUCUUUGGCAGACAGCCUGCUUUCCUGUAGUGUGGAAUUGCCUUCAUUCGCAUUUGCAGCGGCUCACUCAAGUGUCACUAAAGGAAGAGGAGGUGGAGCCUAAAGGGCUUUAAAAAGGGGAGUCAUUCUACUUUUCAAAAAGAGAAACUGUGUUUGGGGAGGAAUUAUAUCUCCAUAUUUCUUCUUUCAGCUUGAUCAACCGUCGUGAUUGGAACUUUCCAUCAAUUCUUUUCUCUCUCUCUCUCUCUUUCUCUCUCUCUGUACCCUUUGCCCGUUGCUCUGCCUAUCACAGUGAAGUUAGCUGCAAGCCUCCAGAGUGCCUGUUAAACAGUGGCGAAAUUUGUCAGAAGGGUGUCAGGUAUUUCUUACCGGCUUCAAAAAACGUAGAUAAACCUUUCCCAGCGUGUCCCUUUCAGAAAGGCUGCAUUUGGGCACCGUUUCGAGUUGAAGCAGGAGGAGUUGGAGGGCAAGAGCAAAAGAGCAGAAGAAAAGAUGCCCCAGGGCUGCAGGCCAAGCUGGGUGAGCACUACUGGGGUCAGACAAACCCACCUUGCCUGGGCUAUGCCCAAGCAAAGCCAACUUAUUUUCUAUUGAAAGCUCAAGCCCAUCAAGAUCAUGCUGCUCUUCCUUGUCACCCUGUUGCCUGAAGUUUUUACGUUUGGUUUUGUUAGUAGUCUGUCAGUACUGCCUCGCCAGAACUGUCCUGAAGGCCCUCCCUCUGGAAAUGGGGACUCUACUUGUUUGGAGCAUGAGCUGCCCUGACAUUCCAUCUUGUCAUUUUUGGCCUUUUGAGAAGAGAUCUGGCUCCCCCAAAGAGGGAAACUGAGGGAAACACAGUUAAGUUUCCAGAAGAGAAGCCUCUGGAAGACGACACAAGAUAGUGGGAUUAAAGAGAGCUGUUCUGAGCCAAACUGCUGAGUUGGGCUCGCGCCCUGGCUUGCUCAUGGAGGAAGUAACGAGUGAAGAAGUCAGGUGCUCUUGCUCAGAAUCU